AUUAGUUAGGUAUUUAAGUUGCUCUGGAUAAGAGCGUCUGCUAAAUGACUUAAA
rfam:Salmo salar isolate Sally breed double haploid chromosome ssa02, whole genome shotgun sequence.